UGAAAACCGAGGAAGAUGGAUGGGAUUCAACAGCAGCUGCAAGGAACGGCUGGCAGUAUAGCGGAGGCCAGAAGAUGCAUCAGUAAACAGCUCAACAGAUUCCAUUUUCCAUUAGGCCCAGAUUUGUUUCCUGAUCAUACCUUGUAAUGCCAAUGUAUGUCUGCACAAAGGACAUUGAACCAACAGUGGAUGGUGUUAUUUGAAACUAAAAUCCCAAAUGGAGCCACAAUGACCUCAUUGUCACCAUGCAAUGUUAAAGGAGUAAAAAAUAAAUAAUGAAAAUAAAUGCAAGCAAAAAGAUA